rnacentral:rRNA from 1 species
AGCGAACGCUGGCGGCAGGCUUAACACAUGCAAGUCGAGCGGGCACUUUCGGGUGUCAGCGGCGGACGGGUGAGUAACGCGUGGGAACGUGCCCUCUGGUUCGGAAUAACUCAGGGAAACUUGAGCUAAUACCGGAUACGCCCUUUUGGGGAAAGGCUUGCUGCCGGAGGAUCGGCCCGCGUCUGAUUAGCUAGUUGGCGAGGUAACGGCUCACCAAGGCGGCGAUCAGUAGCUGGUCUGAGAGGAUGAUCAGCCACACUGGGACUGAGACACGGCCCAGACUCCUACGGGAGGCAGCAGUGGGGAAUAUUGGACAAUGGGCGCAAGCCUGAUCCAGCCAUGCCGCGUGAGUGAUGAAGGCCUUAGGGUUGUAAAGCUCUUUUAUCCGGGACGAUAAUGACGGUACCGGAGGAAUAAGCCCCGGCUAACUUCGUG